rnacentral:rRNA from 1 species
GACGAACGCUGGCGGCGUGCUUAACACAUGCAAGUCGUACGGUAAGGCCCUUUCGGGGGUACACGAGUGGCGCACGGGUGAGUAACACGUGAGUAACCUGCCCACAACUUUGGGAUAACGCUAGGAAACUGGUGCUAAUACUGGAUAUGUGCUCCUGCUGCAUGGUGGGGGUUGGAAAGCUCCGGCGGUUGUGGAUGGACUCGCGGCCUAUCAGCUUGUUGGUGGGGUAGUGGCCUACCAAGGCGGCGACGGGUAGCCGGCCUGAGAGGGUGACCGGCCACAUUGGGACUGAGAUACGGCCCAGACUCCUACGGGAGGCAGCAGUGGGGAAUAUUGCACAAUGGGCGCAAGCCUGAUGCAGCAACGCCGCGUGCGGGAUGACGGCCUUCGGGUUGUAAACCGCUUUCAGCAGGGACGAAGCUUUUUGUGACGGUACCUGCAGAAGAAACACCGGCUAACUACGU